rnacentral:rRNA from 1 species
GAUGAACGCUGGCGGCGUGCUUAACACAUGCAAGUCGAACGGGAUCCAUCAGGCUUUGCUUGGUGGUGAGAGUGGCGAACGGGUGAGUAAUGCGUGACCGACCUGCCCCAUACACCGGAAUAGCUCCUGGAAACGGGUGGUAAUGCCGGAUGCUCCGACUCCUCGCAUGGGGUGUCGGGAAAGAUUUCAUCGGUAUGGGAUGGGGUCGCGUCCUAUCAGGUAGUCGGCGGGGUAACGGCCCACCGAGCCUACGACGGGUAGCCGGCCUGAGAGGGCGACCGGCCACAUUGGGACUGAGAUACGGCCCAGACUCCUACGGGAGGCAGCAGUGGGGAAUAUUGCACAAUGGGCGCAAGCCUGAUGCAGCGACGCCGCGUGCGGGAUGACGGCCUUCGGGUUGUAAACCGCUUUUGAUCGGGAGCAAGCCUUCGGGUGAGUGUACCUUUCGAAUAAGCACCGGCUAACUACGUGCCAGCAGCCGCGGUAAUACGUAGGGUGCAAGCGUUAUCCGGAAUUAUUGGGCGUAAAGGGCUCGUAGGCGGUUCGUCGCGUCCGGUGUGAAAGUCCAUCGCUUAACGGUGGAUCUGCGCCGGGUACGGGCGGGCUGGAGUGCGGUAGGGGAGACUGGAAUUCCCGGUGUAACGGUGGAAUGUGUAGAUAUCGGGAAGAACACCAAUGGCGAAGGCAGGUCUCUGGGCCGUUACUGACGCUGAGGAGCGAAAGCGUGGGGAGCGAACAGGAUUAGAUACCCUGGUAGUCCACGCCGUAAACGGUGGAUGCUGGAUGUGGGGCCCGUUCCACGGGUUCCGUGUCGGAGCUAACGCGUUAAGCAUCCCGCCUGGGGAGUACGGCCGCAAGGCUAAAACUCAAAGAAAUUGACGGGGGCCCGCACAAGCGGCGGAGCAUGCGGAUUAAUUCGAUGCAACGCGAAGAACCUUACCUGGGCUUGACAUGUUCCCGACAGCCGUAGAGAUAUGGCCUCCCUUCGGGGCGGGUUCACAGGUGGUGCAUGGUCGUCGUCAGCUCGUGUCGUGAGAUGUUGGGUUAAGUCCCGCAACGAGCGCAACCCUCGCCCUGUGUUGCCAGCGCGUCAUGGUGGGAACUCACGGGGGACCGCCGGGGUCAACUCGGAGGAAGGUGGGGAUGACGUCAGAUCAUCAUGCCCCUUACGUCCAGGGCUUCACGCAUGCUACAAUGGCCGGUACAACGGGAUGCGACACGGCGACGUGGAGCGGAUCCCUGAAAACCGGUCUCAGUUCGGAUUGGAGUCUGCAACCCGACUCCAUGAAGGCGGAGUCGCUAGUAAUCGCGGAUCAGCAACGCCGCGGUGAAUGCGUUCCCGGGCCU